UCCCUGGUGGUCCAGUGGUUUGGACUCUGUACUUCAAUUGCAGAGGAUACAAGUUCAAUCCCUGGUUGGGGAA
rnacentral:tRNA from 1 species